rnacentral:misc_RNA from 1 species
UCUCCGUAGGUGAACCUGCGGAGGGAUCAUUACAGAGUAUCAUGCCCUUCGUGGUAGAUCUCCCACCCUGUGUAUUAUAUACCUUUUGUUGCUUUUGCGGGCCGCCUCGGCCACCGGCUCCGGCUGGUGCGUGCCCGCCAGAGGACCCCAAACUCUGAAUGUUAGUGUCGUCUGCGUACUAUCUAAUCGUUACAACUUUCAACAACGGAUCUCUUGGUUCUGGCAUCGAUGAAGAACGCAGC